CUGGGAAGGUGGGGCUGCACUUGCACCAACAGUCAUUCUCCUUGCAGACGAGCUCCCCCUCAGAGCUGCAUGUGAUAUAGCUGAGUGCCGCCGCCACAAAGCGCUCACGCAGGAAAUCAGAGAGCCCAAAGUAUGCAUCCUAGUCUCCGUGGACCUGAAAACAUAACUUAGCACGGCAGCACCAGCAGAAGUCCUGUUUGAGAUCCACCUCCUAUCUGAACUGCUCAAGUUUCCUCUCUUGAUGCUGUGCCUGCAGUGGCACUGGAACGGCCCUCCCCACAUAUCCGGUCCACAUGCUGCCUUUCCACACACACCCAUCCAAGUCCUUUCUCUUCACCUCCCCCACUACCUCCCUCCUCCUCGCCAUAACACUUCCCAUUGCUAUAAAAUAAGGGCCCCGAGCAGUGUCUGCAUGAGUGAUGGGCUAUAAAAUUAAAUGGCAUAAACUAUUCCAAAUGAACCACCAGACAUUCCGAACUUCACUCAUCGCUAAUUUCCAGACACAACCCAGCCCAUCUAAGGACAGAGGAGAAGAGGGAUGCUAAUUGCAUUAGGUGGCUCUAAAUAAAGCAGUCUUUUACUCCUUU